CCGUGAAUGGGAGUCGCGGACGGGCUCCCAAGGAAAACAGGAAUGUUGGACCCAGGAGGCAGGAGGAUGGAAGCUGAGCCAGCAACACAGUAGAUGCCCUUAUAAAGCCACGUACUGGCGGGAUCAGCGGCACCUGGGAGCCUGCUGGCAUGAGAUUCUUGGAUGUGCCUUGCACCUGCCAAGUCAGAAUGUCUAGAGGAAGGACAGACCAGCGGGGAGGACUCCCCCCGGCCCUUCCCCAGUGCAACCUGAGGCCUGAAUCCCAUCAACGUCAGACCCGGGCGCCUAGCUUCCCUAUCAAAGUGGACGUGUUGUGAGGGCAGAGGAUGCUGACGAGAAGGAGAAUAAGGGAGUAUAAUCAUAGCAGCUUUGCUGAGAAGAUAAGCUCGCUGGCACUGGCGAAGGCCUGGAAUGCCUUCCCAUGUGUGAUAGACAGGGAAGAUGCAUUUCCCUGCCCCUGCCUUACAGCCUAGCCACAACCCUGCGGUCACAUACAGAACUCGCUACGUGCCCGAAAGCAGUGACUAAGCCAGCGCUGGGAAACGGUGGGCCCUGCAGUGUCCUGCAGAUGUGUUCUGUUCUCUCUCACGUGAUGGACAACUAUGGACACAGGAGCUGGCGGCCACAACAGGGACCUUUGUCUGUGUGUCCUUUGCCCCAGCGUCUGCUUUAAUUCAGAACUACACCAGCAGCCCUGAACUUCCAUUGACUGUUCUCUCCAAAGAGCCUCUCUGAGGCCAGGCGUGGUGGUGCACGCCUGUAAUUCCAGCUACUCAGCUACUCGGGAGGC